rnacentral:lncRNA from 1 species
UUAAUUAUAUUAUUAUAAUUAACUAUAUGAAAAACAUAAAUUAAAAAUUAAAAUAGUUAAAAAAACAAACAAAUAAUAAGACAUAUAAUAGAUAAAAACAACAUUAAUAGUUUAUUAAUAUUUUAAAAAUGACAUAAAUUGAAACAAUAUUGUAUAUUGGAGUGGUAAUUUCGGAAUAUUUUUUUUUUAAUUGUAUUUUUAUUUGAACACAUUUUGUGGACAUUAUGCAUGAACACCGACAAAAUACAUAUAAACUCC